ACAAAACAGCCUGAAGCGGCUUAAUCAUUUCGUGGUAGAGAAGCUGGCUGACAUCGAAAAACUGGCCAAAAAGUGCGUCAAUUCAUUUUAUCAAUAUUUUGUACAUGUUUGUAAUGUUUACCAGGCUUUCACGUUGGUUUUAUGGCCAAGCUAUUAUUGAAGUGCAACCUAGGUACGUCAGUGCAUAGUAGGCAAUGGGACGACAGCAGAAAUGAGACACACGGUACCGAAAAUCUCAAUUUUGCUGCCGUCUCUGAAUGUGCUGUUAAUUACGGCAAACAUAAGCGCAAAACUAUAACAAUCGAGCAGAAGUCGGCAAUGUUGAAAGCCGUUGAGUCCGGCGUCAAGAAAAAAAAAAGUGGCCGAAGAUUUUGGCGUAUUGUUGAGCACGCUUGCAUUGUUCUUUAUUAUUUUGCUAGUUUUUUGCCUUCCGACGGCCGUUUUUCUCUGCGCGGCGGGCUGCUGUGAUAUUUGGUGGUGAGUACAUUCUCUCUUGCUGGCUAAUUGUCGGUAGAAAUGGAUAUUGGCUAUAACGAACUAAUGGUUAUAACAAAGUAA